UCAAGUUCUGCUAUAUCAUUUUUCAAUAAAUGCAUUUAAGUGGAAAAUUGUGUUUAUAAAUAUAUGCUGUACACACACUAAACAUUUUUUCUACAACUACUGAGUUUUCACAAUUACACUUAUAUGUACAUUUGUACCAAAAUAAACAGCCUUCUCCUUCCUUUACAGCCAUUCCUUUCCUACCAUUAUAAUGUUUAUUAUUUUUAACUUUUUCUACAGUGUUACAAUAGUAUUACCAUUUAUAUAAAUACAAGCAAAUAUUUGAAUAACUUUGACAUAAACUCUAACCUUUUAAGUAAAAUCAACACACAUUACUUAAAAUUAAUUAACUUAAUGUUGACAUGAUAUGAGAGGAGAAACUACUACAAAAUUUAAAAUCAACUGUUCCCUGAAAAAGUUACUAUAUUGUAGUAUUAGUAAAUGUAUGAAUACCUUUUACUCAGAGUAACAAGAGAAUCAUUGGACCUUAAUGUUCAUCUGGUGGGAAAAGGCAUAUAAUUUAGACUUGGUAUUUGUUUGUUUAUAAUUAGAAGAUUUUUAAAAUUUUGUUUAAAUUUCCUCUUUCAGUCCAAUAGCAGAGCCCACUGAGGUCAAACUCAACCAUAUGAACAAUUAGUUGUAUGCCCUUGUAAGGAUUCCUAUUACCAAGUUUGGUAGAAAUUGGUUUUGUGAUUGUUCAAAUUUAAGUGGAAAGCUUAAAAAGUUAACAAAUUUUCUAUUAUAAGUAUUGAAGUUAAUAAACCCUAACAGGAGAAACUAUGUCAGACACAAGGGUAAUGUCAUUAAAAAAAGACUCAAAUGUUAAACCCAAACAAAACUAUACAUGCAAGUGUACAAAAUAAAAUAGCAAAAUACUCAAUUACCUAUAGGUAUGAUAUGUGUAAAACUAUUACUUUGCAGGUUUUCCUCAAGUUGUUGGGUGCAUUGAUGGUACAUUUAUACCAAUGCAGGGACCAUGUGAGAAUGAAGAAGAUUUUGUGAAUAGAAAAGGGUUCCACUCUUUAAACAUACAGAUGACAUGUGAUGCCCACUUCAAAAUAACAAAUUGUGUGGCAAAAUGGCCUGGAAGCGUGCAUGACGCAAGAAUGUUUCGGGAUAGCCACUUGCGUACUAAUUUUUAGAAUGGAACCUUUUAUGGAUUUCUGCUAGGAGAUUCGGCAUAUCCCUGUUCAAAUUACCUGAUGACUCCAUACAACACACCUGACACAAG